rnacentral:rRNA from 1 species
UGGCGGACGGGUGAGUAACACGUAAGAACCUGCCUCUAGGACGGGGACAACAGUUGGAAACGACUGCUAAACCCGGAUGAGCCGAAAGGUAAAAGAUUUAUCGCCUAGAGAGGGGCUUGCGUCUGAUUAGCUAGUUGGUAAGGUAAAGGCUUACCAAGGCGACGAUCAGUAGCUGGUCUGAGAGGAUGAUCAGCCACACUGGGACUGAGACACGGCCCAGACUCCUACGGGAGGCAGCAGUGGGGAAUUUUCCGCAAUGGGCGAAAGCCUGACGGAGCAAGACCGCGUGGGGGAGGAAGGUUCUUGGAUUGUCAACCCCUUUUCUCAGGGAAGAAAGCAAUGACGGUACCUGAGGAAAAAGCAUCGGCUAACUCCGUGCCAGCAGCCGCGGUAAUACGGGGGAUGCAAGCGUUAUCCGGAAUGAUUGGGCGUAAAGAGUCCGUAGGUAGUCAUUCAAGUCUGCUGUUAAAGAGCGAGGCUUAACUUCGUAAAGGCAGUGGAAACUGGAAGACUAGAGUGUAGUAGGGGCAGAGGGAAUUCCUGGUGUAGC